rnacentral:rRNA from 1 species
GACGAACGCUGGCGGCGUGCCUAAUACAUGCAAGUCGAACGCAGUGGGGACGGGUGAGUAACACGUGGGUAACCUCCCAUCAGAGGGGAUAACACUUGGAAACAGGUGCUAAACCGAUAGUGAUGGAUGUACCCGCGGUGCAUUAGCUAGUUGGUGAGGUAACGGCUCACCAAGGCCACGAUGGAUAGCCGACCUGAGAGUGUGAUCGGCCACACUGGAACGGAGAAACGGCCGAGACUCCUACGGACGGCAGCAGUAGGGAAUCUUCGGCAAUUGCCGAAAGUCUGACCGAGCAACGCGGCUUGAGUGAAGAAGGUUUUCGGAUCGUAAAACUCUGUUGUUAGAGAAGCGGUAUCUAACCAGAAAGCCACGGCUAACUACGUGCCAGCAACCGCGGUAGUUC